UUGGAGGGCAAGUCUGGUGCCAGCAGCCGCGGUAAUUCCAGCUCCAAUAGCGUAUAUUAAAGUUGUUGCAGUUAAAAAGCUCGUAGUUGAAUUUCGGGGUCAGUAGAUUGGUCAUGCCACUGGUAUGUACUGGUCUCACUGAUUCCUCCUUCCUGAUGAGCCGUAAUGCCAUUAAUUUGGUGUUGCGAGGAAUCUGGACUGUUACUUUGAAAAAAUUAGAGUGUUUAAAGCAGGCUAACGCUUGAAUACAUUAGCAUGGAAUAAUGAAAUAGGACGUUCGAUCUUAUUUUGUUGGUUUCUAAGAUUGACGUAAUGAUUAAUAGGGAUAGUUGGGGGCAUUAGUAUUCAAUUGUCAGAGGUGAAAUUCUUGGAUUUAUUGAAGACUAACUACUGCGAAAGCAUUUGCCAAGGAUGUUUUCAUUAAUCAAGAACGAAAGUUAGGGGAUCGAAGACGAUCAGAUACCGUCGUAGUCUUAACCAUAAACUAUGCCGACUAGGGAUCGGAUGAUGUUAAUUUUUUAAUGACUCAUUCGGCGCCUUA
rnacentral:rRNA from 1 species